rnacentral:rRNA from 1 species
AUGGAUGUCGUCGGGGAAGGAGCCCGCGCCGCGGCGGCGGCUGGUGGCGGUGGCGGUGGCUCGGGCGGGUUCAUCCACUCCGUCGUGGGCCUCUCCUCCGCCUCCACGCCGCUCCUCUUCUGGCUCCUCACCGUCGCGCUCGUCGCCGCCAUCCACGUCGCCUCCGCCUACAUGUCCUCCUCCUCCUCCUCCCCAAGGGGCGAGGAUAAGGAGACGGAGAGGAGGCCGCGCGGCGGCGGCUUCCCCGGCGACGAGAGGGACGGGGAGGCGGACGCGCACGACGACAGGGUUCUCCAGAUGAUGCGCAGCUUCAGCUUCGUGCACGCCAGCGAGGAGGAUUUCGUGGAGGGCAUGGCCGCCUACGAACGCGCUUUUGACGACGCGCCGCCCGAGCCGGUCGCCCCGGCCUCGCCGCCGCCGGCUCCGGCCUCUCCGUCGAGCCUCUGCUUCAGCUUUCAGAAUCAGAUGCCUGAAAUUCCGCGAGAGGCCCCGGUGGUUUCGACAGCAGCACCAGUCCAGAAAGAGGAGGAGGAGCACCAGGAAAAAAAGCAGGGCAAGGAAUCGCUGAUUCCAUUCGCUCCGGUGGCCACGCAAGAGCACGAGCACGAAGCAGAGGAAGCAGAGGUGCUAGUGGAAGAAGAAGAAGACGACGAUGAGCCGAGCGGCGAGGCUGUCGACGCAGAGCCGAAGAUCGUUCCGGCCACGCACAACUACCGGUUCCUGACGGAGCGGGACUUCCGUGGGUUCGUCAGGGAGCCGGAGACCAUGACGGUGCGCGUCCAGGAGUCCUUCGUGCCGCCACCGCCGCUGCAGCCGGCGGCGCAGCUUGAGGAACGGAGAGUGGUCGACGGCUCCUCUCGCCGCGGCAACUCCGUCACGGCGAACGACUUCCUGCCGGCGGACAAGCCCGUCGCGUACGACAGAGUGGCGUCGCUGACGAAGAGGGCGCCGUCCAUGCGGAAGCAGGCGAGCUCGGUGUCCAAAGACAGCGCCGUGAGCGGGAGGACGAGCUUCGCCUCCGAGUUCUCCGGCUUCGGCGACUCCGACUCAGACUCCAGCGCCAGCGACGACGGGUACUCGGUGAAGGAGCUUGUCGUCGACUCCGACAGCGACUGGUUCCACUCGGAGAAAGACUUCUCGGCGGGGGUGCACGACGCCGCCAGCCUGCGGAGCUACAAGGCCAAGGUGCUCAAGGCCAUGGAAUCCCUGGAGGAGGUGGACAUGCUGCAGCUGUCUUUCCGGGACUCGUCGGCAACCACGGUGUCGCCGGGCUCAGUCGCCCAGGCCUCGCCGGACAGCGUCAAGUACCCCGAGGACAUGUGGUCACGGACCCAUUCGCCGGAAGCCGAGUACAAAGAGGAUGACGAGACGGGAACACCCCGAGAAGCCGAAGAGGCCGAGGCGAAGAUCGUCGAAGGGGAGGGGAGCAGCAUCGACAUGAGCGACGACGAUGACGAUGACCGCUCCUCGAGCAGCAAGAAGAAGAUGAUCGCGGCACCGGUGUAUGACGCCGAAUUCGCCGUUGAGAACAGCUUGGAGCAUUCGGAGAAGGAAAUUAUCACCAUAAACGAUCAUUCAUACGAAGCCAUUUCUGAUGCCAAGAGCAGUCCAGAGGUAACCACUGACAGAGAAUUGGUUGUUUCGUCUCAUCAAGCAGUUGAUGAUACCGAGAGGAGCCCACAGCCAUCAGAGAGGGAACUUCUUGUCGGUACAAGUGGUCAUCCACCUGAGCUUGUUUCUCGUGACAGAGAAGAAGCAGCCAGUACGAAUGGUCAGACAGACACUGAUGACAGGAGAAGCCCAGAGCAUCCGGAGCAGAAAUUUGUUUUAGUAGAAGGUCACUCACAUGAACUUAUAUCUGAUGUUUGGAAAGAAAUUGCUGGUACAGAAGAAGAGGAAGAAGGCGAGGUUGCUUAUGAUUUCAUGGGAAGCCCUGAGCCUUCAGAGAAACAAUUUGUCAGCAGAAAUGUUCAUUCAGAUGAACUCAGCUCCGAUGAUCACAAAGCAAUUGCCCACACAAAUUAUCGGUCAUAUGCAGCAGUUUCUGACGAUCGUACCACCCCGGAGCACUCAGAGCAGGAGUUCAGUAGAGAUGAUCAUCGAUAUGGAGUAAUCCCUCACGGCGAGAACAUUUCAGAGCCAACAGAGGAUAAGCAUGCUAGUGCAGAUGAUCAUCUAGCCAAAGCCCCUCGACAUGUCCACUUUUCAGUUACCGAGAAGGCCAAGUCUCUGGACGAGGAGGAGGAUAAGGAAGGCAAGUGGAAGGACUUGACAGAGGAAGAAGAGGACGAAUUGGAGUCACUGUGGGAGCACCAAGACCUGAUCGAGCAGCUGAAGCUAGAGCUGAAGAAGGUGCGGUCAGCCGGGCUGCCGACGAUCCUGGAGGAGUCGGAGUCACCAAAGGCGCCGAUGGAGGACCUCAAACCAUGGAGGAUCGACGCCAAGUUCCUGCGCGAGGACCCGAUGGAUGAGCUGAACAAGUUCUUCAAGAGUUACAGGGAGAGGAUGAGGAAGUUUGACAUCCUGUGCUUUCAGAAGAUGUAUGCCAUAGAUUUUCUCCAGCUCAGAGGGCCCCAACAGUCGACGAACUCUAUGAAGGCCUUGUCACCAACGGCGCUAUCCAUCCUGUCGCACAAUUUCCGAUCGGCUCGCUGGAGAUCACCCGAGGAUCCAUCGGACCGGCUCCUCAAGGACCUCCGGUGCGACUUGGAGACGGUCUACGUCGGGCAGAUGUGCCUGUCGUGGGAGUUCCUCCGGUGGCAGUACGAGCAAGCCUGUGACCUGCCGGAAUCCGACCCUUACCACAGCCACCACUACAACCAGGUGGCCGGGGAGUUCCAGCAGUUUCAGGUGAUGGUGCAGAGGUUUGUGGAGGACGAGCCCUUCAAGGGCCCUCGGCUGCCAGACUACGUCAAGGAACGAUGCCCCUUUCGCAACUUCUUGCAAGUGCCCGUGAUAAGAGUUUGGGUUGCAGAGGACAGCCUGAAGGACAGAAUGGAGGACCAACGCAAGGGGAACUACGUGAUAACGAGCGAGGAGCUGGAGGUCGUCAUGGAGGAGUCGAUGCACAUUCUGUGGGAGUUCAUCAAGGCCGACAAAGAGCCGCAGACGUCGGUGCUGAAGGGCUUGUCGACUGCCCACGUCGAGCUCCAGGACCCCAGGGACGAGGCUCUUGUGAAGGCCAUCCACGCCACGUUACAGAAGAAAGAGAAGAGGCUGAAGGACCUGCUGAGGACGGGGAACUGCAUCGUGAAGAAGUUCAAGAAGCCCAAGGAGGACCGGUCGGACCAGAACCUCUUCUUCUCGCAGGUGGACAUGCGGCUGGUGGCGCGCGUGCUGAGGAUGCCGAGGAUCACCGGCGACCAGCUGCAGUGGUGCAAGGCGAAGCUGGACAAGAUCAUGCUGGUCGACAACAGGCGGAUCCACAGGGAGGCUUCGUUCUUGCUCUUCCCCUGCCUGGAGUACAAAACAUAA